rnacentral:rRNA from 1 species
AGUCGAGGGGUAUUUAUCUUCGGAUAGAGAGACCGGCGCACGGGUGCGUAACGCGUAUGCAAUCUACCUUUUACAGAGGGAUAGCCCAGAGAAAUUUGGAUUAAUACCUCAUAGUAUUAUGAAAUGGCAUCAUUUUAUAAUUAAAGUCACAACGGUAAAAGAUGAGCAUGCGUCCCAUUAGCUAGUUGGUAAGGUAACGGCUUACCAAGGCUACGAUGGGUAGGGGUCCUGAGAGGGAGAUCCCCCACACUGGUACUGAGACACGGACCAGACUCCUACGGGAGGCAGCAGUGAGGAAUAUUGGACAAUGGGCGCAAGCCUGAUCCAGCCAUGCCGCGUGCAGGAUGACGGUCCUAUGGAUUGUAAACUGCUUUUAUACGAGAAGAAACACUCCAACGUGUUGGAGCUUGACGGUAUCGUAAGAAUAAGGAUCGGCUAACUCCGUGCCAGCAGCCGCGGUAAUACGGAGGAUCCAAGCGUUAUCCGGAAUCAUUGGGUUUAAAGGGUCCGUA